AACGUAGGAGACAAACGUUAUCCGGAGUUACUGAGCGUAAAGGGCGUGUAGGUGGUUGUGUAAGUCUGGCGUGAAAUUUUUCGGCUUAACCGGGAAAGGUCGUCGGAUACUGCAGAACUAGAGGACGGUAGAGGCGUGUGGAAUUCCGGGGUGUAGUGGUGAAAUGCGUAGAGAUCCGGAGGAACACCAGUGGCGAAGGCGACACGCUGGGCCGUACCUGACACUGAUGCGCGACAGCAUGGGGAGCAAACAGG
rnacentral:rRNA from 1 species